rnacentral:tRNA from 2 species
GAAGAUCAUCGUCCCCGGUGGGGCGGCCGGACUUCAAAUCCGGUUGGGGCCGCCAGCGGUCCCGGGCAGGUUCGACUCCUGUGAUCUUCC